rnacentral:lncRNA from 1 species
UCACGAAACUUAAUAGAAAGGUUGAUCAUGACCAGCAGAUGACCACUACUGAUACUGAGGUCAGUAGGUCAAAGGUCAAGGUCAAAUUGACGAAGAACAGGUAUACCGUUUCCAGAUGAUAUCUCAAGGAUGUUUUGGCAUAGGAUUUUGAAAGUUGAUAAGGAGAUUUGGCACGACCAGCAGACGAUCUCUGUCGAUGUUGAGAUCACUAGGUCAAGAUAGCAGGGAUCCAGAACAGUCCAACAGUUUCUGGACGAUGACUUGAGAACCCUUAGGCCUAGAAUCACGAAACUUUAUCGGGUGGUUGAUCAUGACCAAUAGAUGACUUCUAUUCAUUUUGAGACCAGCAGGUCAAAGGUCAAGUUCACAGCGAUCCGAAACAGUUGAAGCGUUUCCGAAUGAUACUUGAAAACGCAUAGGAUUAGAAUCACGAAAUUAACGAAUCUUGAUAGGGUGGUUGAUCAUGACCAGCAGAUGACCACUGUUGAUUUUGAGAUCAGUAGAUCAACGGUAAAACAUUGACUCAAAACAGUUAAAAUAUUUUGUCAAAUAACAAGAGAAUGUUUGGUCUAAAAUCAGAUUUGAUCUAGAGGUCAUUGAUGACUGGUAAUGACCCUUUAUUUUCAUUUGAUGUCAGAACAUCAAACGUUCAGUGCACAAUGACCCAAUAGGUUCUGUUCUUUGUGCAGUUACUGAAUGCAUCAAGGGGUGGAGGGCGGCAUUUCGUGUUCUACGAGCUUUUUUCAAUAUUUCAAUCUGUCUGUCUGUUCGUCUCUAUGCACUGUCGUUCACUGUCAAUGUCCGACACAUAUCAGAUUCUUGCCUUCGGCACCGUUAUUUCAGUUUUUUUUCCUUCAGAAAUAUUCAACAAUUUGUUCUCAGGGCCGAGAACAAGUUUAAACCUUCAGAUCAAGGUCAUAUGUCAUAAACAAAAAUAACCUUUUAGUAUCCGCAACGCAAAGUAUAAAAUGUUUUGUUAUAAAUGAACAUGUCAAAACCUUGUCUUCGUACAUGCAUAUAUUGGGUUAUAUAUGAAAACGAUUGUCAUUGGGAAUCUACAAAACGAGUCGUCAGGUGAUGAGAUGGGGGACUGGCCCUUUUAUUUAUUCACAUUUUCAUGUUCUUUAUAUCGACACUUACCGGUGACCGUAGCACAAUGGUUAAGGCUUCCUCUUCGGGAUCAGGAGGUCGAAGCGGGAUGUUUGUCAUGGGACUCGUUCCGAAAAGGCCGGUUCGGGAGCCACGAGCAAGUUAGAUGAACGGUUAACGAUUUCUAUCCGCCCGGCCCUUCGCAAAGUGCUAGGAGUUGGGAGGCAAUUGGUACGCACAAUAAAUGUGUCUCAUAAACCAAAUUGGCUGGUCCUUUUAAAAGGGAUGACAGAUAAUAAGCAAGACCUUUACCCUUAUCUUUUAUAAAAUAGACAUGAUUAAAACACCAGUGCCGUGACCAGCCCUGAAAAAACACGGAGGCAGAAUUCUUUCGGAAUAAGAGUUGUAAAACAUUUACAUAUUUGUAUUAUAAUGUGUGUAUAAAUUAUUGUUUUGUAAUUGAUUUUGUUUACUUUUAAUGUCCAUUCAAUGUACAUGUAUUACAUGUAUAUUGCAUUUCAUUUUUGUCUUAAAGUUAAACAUGUAACAGGCAAUUUGCCGGGUCACGUAUUCAUUUUGUAAUGUUGUAAUCAACAGAUGUUAUAUGUGUGCUACAUCACGUUCUUUAUUAACAGUAUCCUUGUAUUUUUCAUGCUUUAUCACGUGCGUUUAAAUGUAUAAUUCAUACCUUUAGUAAUAUGUUAAUUCAGACGUGGUAUAUAUAAUGUCUAUCUAAUCAAUAUUCUAGCUAGUGCGUGAUGUGUAAUAUCUGCUAUGCCACCAAAGUAGAUAAAAAUUAUAUGUAACUUAAAUGCCAAUCAAAGAUGUUUUACUGGAAAUCCUUUGGACGGGAUCUAAUUGUGAGACCCCAAGCUACAGUCUAUGUGCUAUAAAAAUGUGUGUUCUAAGAUUCGAUACCUUUUUUUCUGUUUUGAUUUUAUAUGAGUAAACAUGAAGUAAGAAUAUAAAUUGUAGUAAACCUUGUAACUGAACUUGUUGUUAGCAGCUUACAAUUACGGGUGUGACUACGCUAUAGUGUUUUAUAUAUGGGCUUAGGUACAAACUACGAUUUUGCAGGUCAACAGUUAAUUUAAACAUUUUUUUCUUCAACCAUAGAAAUCACGUGGAGUUGCAGCAUAUGUUAAGCAGGGUUACAGGGGCCCAUCCUGAGAUUUUGUUUGAAAUUCUGCAAGACAAAAUGGUGUAUUUUUAGUUAUUUCAGAUAAAAAAAAUCUCGGCAAAACUCUUUUGAAAUGUACACACAACUCGUCUGCAAUAUUGGAGUCGAGGUCUUGAAAAGUUUUGACACUAUACAAUACAACUGUGUUAGUUUCAAGCGAUUUCAGACAAAAAUCUGAGCAAAAUGUCACACUACUUGCUUAUAUAAUUGUAGUUCACGUAGAGGGUUGUGCUCGGGGUCAAAGCUGUGUAUUUUAAACAACCCUCGAAAAAAAUAUGAGGAAAUAAGGUUAAAAAGUUUGCACUAGUCGGCUGCAUAAUUGGUAUACAAGUAAAUAUGGCAUUUCAAGGGUCCUCCCCAAGAGUAUUUUGAUAUUAUAAAAGACAAAAUGGUGCAUUUAAAGACAUAUCUGAUAAAGAAUUUGAGAUAAUCAGGUUGUAAUGUACACAUUUCCGGGCUGCAUAACUAGAGUAGAAAAUAGAGUUAGGGUCCAGGGUCCUCCCCGCGAAAUUUUAAAUUGAUAUAAGAUAAAUGGGACAUUUACACCAUCUCUGACAAAAAACCCUUAGCAAAUCAGGUUAGUGUAUGCAUACGACUAAUCGUCUGUGUAAUUUGAGUAAAAGUAGAAGUGGGGUUCGGGACGACCCUCUUAGAGAAAUGUGGAAAACUCAAUGAGGCAAAACUAUGCAUUUAAAAGCCAUUUCAGAAAAAAUGAAUUUGAGCAACUCAGGUUGACAGGUUUACCAUACUAGACUGGUAAAUCGGAGAACAUGUAGUGGGCUCUUAAGUUCCACAAGAAAGUGGUACGUUUUUAAAGCCAGAUUAUGAAAUUGUUAGUAAAACUUUGUGUGAUUCACAAGCGAAAGUACAAAAUUGAAUGCUUAUAUGAGAAAUGAUUGGAGGGAAAUGUGUGACUAUGUUUAUGAGUUACCGUUGACUCUACAACCGCACAAGAACCAAAACUCAAUGUCUCUUUCGUACUGAUAAAGAUACACAGAACUCGACAUAAAGAUACAUUUAAUUUCGUAUUUUAUAGAGCUCGAGUCGUUACUCGACUUUCAUACAUUUGAUGGAUUCUAAAACUGUCCUGGAGAAAGUGUUUCUUUUUUGUACAGUGAAGAGAAAACGUCCGGUAAGAGGACUGUACUGGUUUCUCCAAGGAAAAACGGCUUUGUGUAUCGUAGCUAAACACCAAACACGCUUAAAGAACCAGAUUGUCUAUUUUUAUUAUCAUUAUUAUAUACCAUAUUUAUAUAGCACUCUUUUAAAUUAAAAAUACGUUCAAAAGUGCUUUAAAUAAACAACAUCUAUAUAAUGUUCGAUACAAAUGGUAAUUGAACUAUUAUAGAAAACAAUUUAAAAUUACAUUACGAUAAUAAGAUACCUAGCAUUUUAAAUUUGAUGUAAGCAGAUCUAAACAUGAAACGAAAUACAAUAUCAUAAAAAAUUAACUGAUCUAUUACAGCUUUAGCGGUUUUUCUCAUUCUGUCCCGCUGGUCAGAUCGCCCUGUGUUUGUACUACUAGAGAGCACAGACGAUUAAUUUCGCGCCUUGCUAGGCUUCGUUUGUGCUAUGUAAAGCGUCUUUGGUCAUGGAAAGGGCGCUAAAUAUAUGUGGUACAAUAAUAAAGAUAAUGAUCUAACGUCAUCCGAUUGCUCAAACUUACUUAUGAAUUAUUUAUCAAAAUUUCCAGCUAGAUGGAAAAAUGAUAACAUUUUUACAGAAAUAUUCUAAAAUGAAAUUGGAAAAAAAUGCCACGGCGCUUCAGCUAGGACAUAUCUGGCUGAUAACUAUCUUCGUACUUGUAAGAAAUGGCAACGGUUUAAUUUACAAUGUACUGAAUGUCUCCGCAACUAUUUUCAAUGUAAAAUUACAAUCAUAACAAUGCAAAGUAUUUUCUUGUCAUCAUGUCUAGUGUUAUAUUUCUUGCGAGAUAACCCUUGAGAGUUUAUCUAUAAACAAUCAGUAAAUAAAAAAAAAAAUAUUGGGUUUUCCAUAAUGCAGUGAAGCCAUGGUCACGUGACUGAGAUACUUGAUAAAACAAUAAUAUUGCGUAGGAAGACUUCAGCAGGUACGUUCAUUCACUUACAUUCUACCCUUAUGAUACUUAUUCUUUACAUGAAUUGUUUACAAAUAAACUCAAUGUAUACAUGUUUUACAUGCAGAAUUGCUUAAAUCAAUAAAGCUCGACACGCUCCAAUAAUUUUGCAAUAAACACCAAACAAAUAUAUGUGUCGCGUCGGCAUUUAAAAGAUAAAUAUGUGUACAAGAUAUUUUUAGAAUUGAGCAAAAAAAAUAAAAAAAGUUAUGAAAAGUACAAUAAAAAUCUCCACUGGUACAGUUUCCUAAAAAUAGGUCUAUAUUUUGUAAAAUAGUUCAUGCAGCGAUGGGUUCUACAUCAAAAUUGUAAUAUUAUGAUACAAUACGCAAGAAUCAUACAAAUUUAAAUCUCUUCUAAAAAGUGCAUAAUUAUCUGGCUUAUAGCCUGCACUAUUUGGUGAAUUUCAUUGAAUUACAUUGAUAUUGUAGCUCCUCAAAUUUGAUCAGAUCAUGGUACAUGUACAAUUACCAGUCCAAUACUGUACGAGCCUGUUAAUGUCUAAUACAAAUAUCCUUAGUGACCGGUUAUGUACUAAUCGCGGAUAAAUAUUAGUUAUUUUGUUUGUUCAUCCAGAAAAGUUAUAUUAUAUACUAGUCAGUUUGCAUCCACCUGAAUCCACGGCAAGUUUAGAAUAAUCCAUAGUUACACGAGUUUAUCGGUGCAAUAAGUACUCAUAUUUUUCUGCAGUACUUGAAACAUCUAGCUAGAAAGGUGGGAAAGGUGUAACAUAUCGCAGUCUUUAGAGCUCUGCACUUUUAAGUUUAGACAAUCACACAUUCUUUUCUUAUUUCUCCUUUUUCAAAAUGUUAAUCUCACGAAAACCGAAAUUGUUUCUACACGUAAAAACCAUUUCAUAGAAAGAAAUAUCAUGUUUGAAUAUUUUGAUACAAUCAAACACUGUACUAUUGAGUAAUGUAGAUCUUUGUUUUGUUGAAUUUAAUGCUGCACCAACCCACUUUUAUGUCAUAUGGCAACUGUCCAGCUUUUGAUGGUUGAAAAAGACCUCAGGUGCCCCUCCAUGAGCGGUCACCUAGGUAGAAUCACUGACCUUCUAAAAGCCAGCUGGAUGGUUUCCUUACAAGACGAAUUCAACGCCACGAGUGAGACUCGAACCUACAUCGAUGAAGGGCAAGUGAUUUGAAGUCAGCGACCUUAACCAUUCGUCGAUGGAGGCCCCUCGUAAUAAAGAUGAAUUUUUUUAUUGAGAUUAAGAAAUGAAAUUAGACAACUGGACACAAAUGAUACCUUUGUUUUAUAAAAGUUUGAAAAUUUAUUUAAUUUUGGAAUAUACAGAAGUGUCCUACAAAAUAUAUAAAUGUGUUAAUGGUAACGCAGGUAUUCACCAACUAUUAGCACACAGUUUAAGUAUGAAACCACUUGAGGAGUAGGCAUGAGGUUUAUUAAAACUUGCUACUAGAAACAUACCAAAAUAAGGACAACAACAAAUAACAAAACAAUUUAAUUAGAUUCAAGAGUUUUUUUUUCAAGAUUUUUUUUUAUAAACACCCGUAGGCCAUCGACCCAUGUGGCAAACACAUACAUAUAUGGCGACAGUAAUGGGUAGUUGAUAUUUAUACAUUGAUGCAUAAUGAUUGUUUAACAAUGAAAACAGACACAGACUAGCAUCAUUAUGUAUCACCUUUUAAUCACAUGUUUGAGGUCGCGGAAGUGUAAUAAAGCCAUUGUUUAAAAAUGAUAAUACACUAAUGUAACAAAGCUAUGCACUAUAAUGUUCAUUAAUGACAAAAUGUAGCAAUGUAACUCUUUUGAAUGCCCUUAAAAUAUCCCUUAAUAACUUCCUGGUAUUAAUCAUUUACAUAGUUUGUUCUAUUAACGGGAAUUAAUUACUACAGUUGAUCCAAUGAGAGGGUUUUAGUAUAUCAAAGAGCUAACGGUACAUUACUGAACAUACAUAUGAAUGCUGGAGCUAUAAUUUCAAUGUCAAAUAGUCAACUCUAGUGGACCGGAGAUUUUGAAAACAAAGCCAUAAACGGACUAGUAUCCUAUAUCAACAUUGUUUAUUACAGUUGUUGAGCAUUCAGACCGUUUCAUCCCUGUCCAUAGGAAACUUCACAAAAUUUAUUACUAUAAAAAUAGCAGCCGUUAAGUGACAUGUGGCGGAUAUACGAGAUUUCUCCGUCCUUCGAAUUUGUCUUGUUAUAUAUUUCUGGUCAUUUGAUAUUAUAAAGAUCACCUUAAUUUUCUCGUAUUAGAAUUCUGCUUAAACCGAUGCUAGGAAGCAAAAGAGAUGUUUCUUAUUUCAUUAACCUCUCUUAAACAGACUCAGUCAAACCGAGUCUGCUAUUAUGUUGCUUGGUUGCUUUUUACGUUUUAAUAGGAUCUUUUAAAAGAUGUUUUUUAUAAAAUCAUGAUACACAUUGACUUUGUUUUAACUGUUUUAUCUUAUGUGAAGUUUUUGUAAAGCCAUUGUUUAUUAGGCCCUAUUCUGUUACCUAAAGGGUUUUCUCACAGUAGCAGGAUAAACUUUAGUAACUAUCUGGUAUCUCCAAGACUAUAUAUUAGUCGUAUGUACGACAUGUUGUUACUAAACAUUCAAACAAUCUCUGAUUGGGACAGCUACUUCCUUUCCCUUUGAUUUAGCUAUGAACCUUAAGCAACAAUAAAAAACAGUUGAAUGGAAGGCAGAUGUAAAUGCAAUUAUAAUAGCGCUCGGUUGUAUUACAGUUUUCAAAAUCCUUCAACCAUUCUCUCUCUUGAGAGGGAGAAAUGAAAAAUCAUUGACUAUAAACGCGUGUCUUUUGCCUUUUAGGAUACUUGAUGUGUAGUGGAAAAAAUUAGCUACACAAGGAGAGCCCUUUGACGUUAAGUAUUUUAACGCAAAAGCAACUUCAUUUACUUCGUUGACACUUUUAAUUAGUUCUUUUCUUUAUUAUAGUAUUUUACUCGAAAGGCGCAAAGUCGUGGUAGUCCUUGCGAAGUUUAUUGUAUUUUGAUAAUACAAACAAUAUUGUUAAAAGUACGCACACGUUCUGUAAUAUUCAAAUCUAAUGUCCUCCGCUAACUAGACUCUGUGAUCACGUAUGUUUUAUAUUUUAAUAUUCUGAGCAAUAAUGCAUGUACUUUAGAACCAAACAGAGAGAUUCUAUCCCCUAAAAUUAUAGAUGUCCAUUGGUUAAUUGGUAGAGGAUAUUUUUUGUUUAUUUUAUUACCGGAGCGAAAUGAAUGAACACCAGAUGCAAUAUUAUAAUAUUUUCAAUUUUGCUCUUAAAAAACAUACACUACUAAUAAAAUUCGAUAUUUUCCGGUCCUUGGAUAGGUUAUUAUUUUCAUUCCUUAUCUAUGCGGAUGAUUAAUCUACUUGAUGAUGUAUCACCUGAAAUAUGUAACAGGUAAUUGAUAUUCCAACAUAAAACCAUUUUGAAGUCGUUUCAAAAUUAAAAUAAAAACUGUACGUGUAAUGCAAAUCAGUGUAGUGUGACUGUUUGCGAGAAAACAUUUUAUAAUUAAUAACACCACAAAAGCGAAGGAGAAUUUGAAUAACUGUGAAAGGUAUAAUUGUUAUGCGCUUGGAGUUUGUAAACCUGUGUGUAUAAAACAUUAUGAGUUCACAGCAUUAAACGUUUGAUCUUGUUGUAUUAUAUUUUCUAUUCUUGCGCAUUAGAUACAGACAUGUUUACUGAAAAAUCAACAACAAUAGGUAGUCACGCUCUUGACUUUAAUACAUGUAAAAACAAAAAUGAAAUCGAAUAACGGUUUUCGUAGUCACAUAUAUAUUUUAUCAAACAGCUUUAUUCACUGGAUUAUUUUUCGAUAAAAUUUUAUCAAAAUUAGAUUUUGUUUAUUUGACAGAAGUAUUACAUUUGUAACAAGGGAUGUCAAUCGCCCAUGACCAUCUGUUAUUGUUUUCUUUGUGCAUGUCGAGCUUGAGAGUCGAUUGUUAGGUUGUUCUAAACAUAUUUAGCGGCAAAAGAUUUUAGUAUUAACUGUUACUGUGAAACUGACAUUUUAGCGUCGCAGGUCAAUUUGCUCUCAAACUAUGAAGAGGAAACGGCUUUAGUACAAACACUAAGUGUGACCUUUUAUCCUUUGUUAUGCCAUCAGAAUCAAUACAAGUCUUUCACUGCCAAUGAACAAUAUUCCGGGCAGGUACACGGAUUACAGGUCAGUGUAUUGAGCAGAAAAGUUGUUGUUUUUUUUUGUAAAUAACAGUCACUGGGACUUUUGGCCCACGUGCACUGACAUUUAAUUCAAUCAUUCAUUAAACAUGUUCAAUGGUCCGUACUAAGCGUGGUGGUCGUACAUUAAGACAUUCUCAAGAUAUUGAACAGAAACGUUUUUUUUAUUAACAACCGCUGUGACACUGACCUCUCACCCAUUCUAAAUAUAUAAAGUACUGGGGCUCGAACCCCGGACUUCGUGAUCCGUAGGCGGACAUUCUAACCACGUUGCUAAAGGGUUAACCCAACAGCAAGGCUGUUUGAAGUGGCCUAUAAACCUACUAUCACUACACUUCUCCCCCUUUACUUUUCAGAGCUUACCAGCUCUCCAGAAUGACACUCUAUGCCCACUGCAUGAGUCCGUCAAACACUUCUGACACCAUUAAAGUAAACCCUGGGAGAGAAAAUACCAAGGUCCCUACUGGGGCUUGAACCGUGGACCUCGUGAUCCGGACAUUCUAACCACGUCGCUAAAGGGUUAACCCAACAGCAAGGUUGUUGGAAGUGGCCUAUAAACCUACUAUCACUACAUAUAGACAAAUAAUCUAUACAUACUCCAGUUUACUCCCAGUUUUAUUCAGUCUUAUAUAAUCUUUCUUGUGUCUUGAAAGAGAAAUGAUGUGUUUAAUCCUUAUGCCAGAUGUUUGGCUAACCUACUGCGUGUGACUCGAUCUUUUACAUUAUACUUGAACAGGAAAUCAACGUCUUGUUUACACGAAGUUAUAUUGUGUAUUUUUAUCAGUUUUCAUAAAUCUUACAAGCUUAUAUAUUGUACUGUAAUGAUCAUCAAUGUAUCGUAUGUAUAUAUUUUCAAUGGAUUUACUUGAAAAUGUAUGAAGCAACCGUCCACACGGCCCCUCUUCUCACCAAAAAUUAAUGAGAUAUCUUUCACUUUAUACUUAACAAAUUAAAAUGGUUAGAAAAUCAGCGACGAUGUAAGUUUCUGUUUCACGUCGUCUUAUUCAAUCGUCAAGAUACAUGCAUAGAGCACUGUACCCGGAUAAUAUGUGCACUGUCGUCAGACUUACUGUGAAGAAUUAGCUACAGAGUCGACAGAACUUUUUUUUCAAUACUCACAGUUGUAAAGCAUAUACUAACGCAUUGCAAGUGCAUAAAGUGUUUAACUCUAACUCUGGCAAGUUAGCAGUAAAUACUGGUUCAGUUAUAAAGUAAUUAUUUAACUUUAUAAGUAUGUUUCUUUUUCAAAAAUAUGCUAACAGUUUUUAUUACAGUAUACUGUAGCAGAAGAGGAACGCACUAUACAGUGGUGUUAAUAGCCAAAUUUUGAAGCAGAAUACUAUCUCAAGGCAAGCACAUCAAACAUGUCAAAUGUGCAAGCCACGAAAUACGUCGAUACCACGUCCAAAGAGUACUUUAUAUUUAUUUGUGAUAUAGUUGUUAAUAAAUUAUUUCAUGACGUAUAAUCUUUCCUUAAAGUCGGAAAGGUUAUGUAAAAUCAAAGACGCGUCUCUAAAAUAUUUAAGACUCGAACCUGUCACUGAAAAAGUAUUUACAAAUAAUCGUUUAAUCAUUAGUUCAUUCUUUCUUUUGAGAGACCUGGGAGAGGCUUACUAUUUCUUGUUUCGUAAGAAAACUAUUGGGUUUUCCGAUUUCUAUUUUCGGUUUAUUAAUACAUCGUCUAUAUAUAGAUUCAUACACGUGGCAGGUAAUAUAAAAGCUUUCUAUAUCUACUUCGUGCCUUUUCUGUCAGCAUUGCGUAGAUUUAAUUUGAAAAGAAAGAUUACAAGGCAAGAAAAAAUGCACGAAGUCACAGUUGGGAUAUAUGAGGAUUAGUAUUUUAAACAAGAGAGAAAUGUACUUUGGAGUCUAUAUGAAUCCUACGAAGAAGUAA